GUUUUGUAAUACUUUAUUACAAAGGCACAUACUAUAGUAUAAAAAGUGCAGAAUAGUGCCAUGCAGCAAGCUUUUAAUUGGUUACCAUGUGUUUCCUGAUGGUCUGUAUCCUCUCCUGUAGCCUGAUCCUAUGUAUGCUUACUCAGAAGUAAGUACCACUGUGUUCAGUGGUGCCUACUCACAAGUAAGUGGACUUAGGGUUGCACCAUUAUUUAUUUGUUUAUUUCAUAAAGUUUAUAUACUGCUUGAUUGUAGGGGGGGAGGACUUCCCAAGUGGUUUACAGAAAAGAAUAGUUGCAAAAAGCAAUAAUAUACAUUGGAGAUGCAAUAAUCUAAUUCAUCAUUCUGUUCUGUUUUUCCUUCUCCCACAAUGGAGUCUGUGACCACACUAUAUGAAGAAAGGAGGUGUGCUGUGCCCAUGAAUUUAAUCUUCCCAGUGCCAUCAGAAAGAAUACAGUUCUGAAGGUUUGAGCCAUCUCUUAAAGAUAGGUCUUCCUAGCCAAGAUGUGGCUUUGCCACAAUCCAAGAUCUGAAACAAGUCGCUGUUUCUCAUAGCUUUCUCUUCUCUUCCUCUGCUCACAUUGCCUGUGGAGUUGCAUCAUUAAGGAGUCCCGCAGGAGGGAGGGGGGAGAAUCUGCAAUCAGUAACAGUUUCUUCUGACUAAAUAAGAUUUAGCCACCUAUACAACAUUUCCAGGAACUGCUGAGGAUCUGUGAUCCCAUGUUGCUUUUCGGUGGGUGCCACUUUUAUCAAGCACAUUUCUGUUGUAAGCACAACUUUCACAUUUUUGCUUUGCCUGAAAAAGUUUUUUUUUUAAUGUCCACCCUAAGCAUACGAGUAGAAAUGCUCUUUCUGAAUCAAAUCUUUCUGAAUCAAAUCACACAUUCUUGGGACUCUGGUAAUUUUGUGGAUCACCCACUGUGAUUUUAUUUUUGUAUACUGGUUUGUAAAAUGAAGGGAAGGGGGAGGGAACCUACACGUACACUUGGAAAGUCAUUUUUCAUCAGUGCAAGAUGUUUCUACCACAGUCAUAGCUGCUCACUUAAGGGGGGGUGGAGAAUAUAGGUGGAAUGUGUCUAGAUGAUUUAGUAUCCAUAUCACUUACACGAUUCAAAUAAUCCCUAGCGGCACUGUCAGCUGAUGGCUAAUGAGGCCUGAUGUUGGACAGCAUCCCAUUAAUCAAUCAAGGUAAAAAAUGCUUAUUUAUUUAUUUUAAAAAGCUGGCCUAGACGCACAAAUGAGUCUCCAGAGGCAAGAGAAGCAUAUUCAUAGGACCAGGUGAUAAAAGGUGCAUUCUGUCCCCUUUCAAAAUAAUACGAGAUGAUUUAGUGUUUUGCUUUUCUCUCUUGCUAAGCAACAAUAUUUCCCUGGUGCUGUGGGGGGAAAAUGCACAAUGAGGUGCAUGUGAAUUAUAUAAAAGCUUUUCCACAUCAGCCUUUCAUGGUUCCACAACAAAAAGAAUUAGGCAGAUUGAAAAAGCUGCAACAAAACCCUCAUAAAAUAUUUUAAGUUUAAUGGAAAACGGUAUUUGGAAUGUUUUGUCCAGCUCCACUGAAUUUGCAAGGUGUCAACAAAGCAUAGCAAUUUAAAUUUGUUGUCUUGGAGGCAUUUCAUAUGGAUGUUGCAAUGCAAAGUAGACAUGCAUGGCUGACAUUUAUUUUAGGAAUUUGCAGAGGAUAGAAUGUCCUCAGACACACUGGAUUAAAAAAACAAAACAUCUUCUGCCUUGGUGCGAGUUCUGAGCCACCUAUUUCUUUUACUGCAUCUAUUCGUUCCUGUGAACGGAAAUGCUGCCUGUUGUUUUUGCUAAAGGUGCUGUGAGAUCAUUACGGUUUGCACAAACAGAGGACGUUCUGCUGUUUUACAUUCGCCACAAACUGGGACAGUGCCAUAACCGUGAAGAUAAAAUAUGUUUUAUACGUUAGAGAUCUGUAAUGCUCUGGAGUCUAAAAUGGUAGAAUAGUGUUUAACCUUCGCCAGAAUCCAAUACCAAAGCUUCCUUGCCGGAUAAAAUAACAUGCUCACUUAUAGAAAUUCAGUUUCUGGGUCACAAUUCUAGAACAGCAACACAAAUCAUCAACCUGGUAGUAGAGGUCCAAACUAAAGAACUAGCUGCUACUCUGGUUUAUUUGUUCUGAUAAUAGGACUUGGGUUUGUUUGUGCAUUUGAUGCAGGCUGCGCACAGUUCUGAUCAUAACUACUCUUUCUGAUUUAAGUUGCCAUCUCUAUUGAUUUCGUGUUUUAUAUCUCCAUUACAGUGGUACCUUGGGUUAAGUACUUUAUUCAUUCCGGAGGUCCGUUCUUAACCUUAAACUGUUCUUAAACUGAAGCACCAUUUUAGCUAAUGGGGCCUCCUGCUGCCACCAUGCCACCGGAGCACGAUUUCUGUUCUUAUCCUGAAGCAAAGUUCUUAACCUGAAGCACUAUUUCUGGGUUAGCAAAAGCCCAAGGUAGCAAAAUUCAGCAUACCCAAUUUUGUCCUCACAACAACCCUGUGAGGAGAGGGGGUUCCCACAGCUGAAUGCAAAAAUCUUUCUCUCUCAAAGAAAUAACUCCUUUUCUUCCACAUCACCUUAAUGGCAUUUCAUUCAUUUUCUAAUUCAUUUAAAUGCCGAAGCAGCUUCUCCUCACUUAAACUUGUUGCCAUGGAAAUGACUGGCAGGUCUUUGCUGUCUGUAGGUGAACAGACAAACAUAACAGGACACUUGUCUUCCUCGCCUCCCUAUGACUGCUAUCCUGUGUUACCUCCCUCCCUAGCAGGCAAGGCGUACAGAAAGGUGGGUCAAUGCACACAUAUUUCAGCAGCAAAAAUGUGUCACACACAAGCACACACACAUACACACACACACACACACACACACACACACACAGAGACAGACAGACAGACAGAGAGAGAGAGAGAGAGAGAGAGAGAGGUUGCAAGAAGCACCAGGACAGAAUUGGAGGCCUCCCUUUAUAAUAAACAGAGUAGAGCAGCUGAGAGGAAUAAUAAUUAUGUGCAGAGCUUCUUAAUGAAACCUCUCAGGCAAACUAACAGGUAGGAUUGGAUUAAAGUUGCUUAAUGCGCCUGGACUGGUGCUCAUACAAUAUUUUAUCCCUUGGUCACUGUAUCUUAAACUACCUGUUGUUACUAGGAAUAUACCAGCUGUUAAAUAAUAUGGGGACAAGAAAAUGAGCCUAACAUACAACUAGUAUACAAUUGGGAAAUGGCCAUAAAAAUGUAAUGCAUCCAGAAACCCAUUUAACAUCACUAACUUUGCACCUCCCAAAUCAGUGUCAUUGCACUUAGAGGUAAAGCUAAGAGAUGGAGCCAUUGCGUGGGAAAUGGCCCUUCUGUCAUAUGCAUUCAGUUCAGAAAAGCAGAAGCUGAGUUUGCAAUUUUAUAUGGAAACUACGUACAUUUCAGACCACCUGAGUCAUAUGAAGACUUGCAUUUUCUGCCCCAUCUUCAGAGUUCAAAAGUCUGAAAAGGCUAACAAACAACUUUGUUAAGCUACACCUUGGAGAGGAAGGAUGGCAGGUUGAUAGCUCACCCUACCUUUGUUGCUUUGCUAUACAGCACAGGUGGGCAAUCACCUGAAGCCCCUAAACCUUACUUUCUGUUGCUUCCAGUACUUCUUGAAGCUGCCCUGUUCUGAUUUGGAGUAUCUUUCUCCCUAUUUUUGUGUAGUUGCAGAACAAUUCGAAGGAGUCAUAUCUGAUAAAAAUUGAAGUUGGCAGUUUUUGUUUCACUUUUUCAUGGCUUGAGGAAAAGAAUCCACCCUGGCUGCCUGAGAAAUUGAUUUCUGCCACGUGUGUGCAGUACACUAGAAUCAGAAAGGAAUUACUCUUGUCCUCCAGAACAGCUGUUGGGUGUUCUGGGUUAAAAAAUAAAUAAAUCCUCCACAUACUUAUUUGAAAAUAACCCCGUCAGCCCCAAAGGAACACAGGGAAUUUAGUCCGAUGUAGCUGUGAUGAAAAUUGAAGCAGAAGAGUCUUUAUUCUGGAUUGGUUUAUCCAGAACUCUUUUGUCUCUGGUUCCCCCAGUACUAGCGUGUGACUCCAACAGAUUACCUCCAAGGAGAUGCUGUCUCCAACAAUAAGAUGACCCAGCCCUGUUGUACCCCAUAAAAUCAGUCUUGGCCAACUGGUGCCCUCCAGAUGUUUUGAACUACAACUCCCACCAACUCCAGCCAGCACUGCGUGCUAGCUGUGACUAGUGGGAGUUGUAGUCCAAAACAUCAGGUGAGCACCUGGUUGGCAAAGUCUGCCAUGAACCAUACAUAGAGAAAAGCUAAGUAUUGGGAAGAAAAGGAAGAAUACCCAUUCUAGUUAGCAGCUGACAAUUAACUCUGACUUGUAACGAUCACCUGGCUAGUUGGCCUAUGUUUUCAGCAUUUCUUGAGACUCACAACAUCUCUUGGGAUCAGAAAAGCUUCCCCAAGCCGGGGGGAGGGGGGGAAUAUGCAUGUGUCAGCCAUUUUGUUUUUCUCUGUUUGUUAUAGAGCAGCCAUUUAUAGAUAAUGCUGAAUAAGCUGGGAACAACUCGUAGGGCAGCAGCUUACAGAUGUUACAAUACUGGCCUGUGACACCCCAUCAGUGUUGAGCUAGAGAUUCACCAGAGCAUAAAGCUUAAGAAUGUUUUGGAGGUGUUUUAAGGUUUGUAUGUUUCAGUUGGCUCUCAGGAGUUAGCACAAAGAUGAGAGCCUUUAGCAGUAUUUACUGGAUGUCAUAUUGAAUUAUAUUGUGGGUUUUAAAAAUUCUCUUUUAAAAUUCUGUAUGCUUUUAAAUUGGUACUCAACCUGAGCCUUCAAUGCUAUAAAUCUAAAGUAUUCACAGCAGCACUGUAAAGUAGUUUUUUAUUAUUCCCAUUUUUCAGAUAGAGAAGCUUGGGCAGAUAAUUAUUUCAUUUAUGUCUGCUAAUGACUCUGUAGCUGAAUAGCCUGAGAAGUCACAGGACAAGUUUGUUGGAGGGAAUUUAGGGAAUUCUUUUGGUUAGUUAUGUUUAAGCACCCAUAUGGAGCACUAACCCAUUCGGCCAUGUGACCUUAUCUAGCUCAGAUCAUCACCAGGACAAUUCAACACGCACUGCUUUUAUUUGACAUUUGUUGCACAUUUUAGAGCAGGCACCCCAAACUCAGCCCUCCAGAUGCUUUGGGACUACAAUUCCCAUCAUCCCUGACUACUGGUCCUGUUAGCUAGGGAUCAUGGGAGUUGCAGUCCCAAAUCAUCUGGAGGGCCGAGUUUGGGGGUGCCCGUUUUAGAGUCACAAUUAAGAGUCAAUUUUACUUUAUCUUCUCUGCACUCUGUGGAGGCAGGCUGCUUUGCAAACAUCAUACACAUUCAUUCUCAGAUUAAAAACAACCCCAAAGAAACUGAUCUCCAAUAGAUUGCAAGAAGCUGUGCUUACCAUGAUUGACUGAUUUGGGAUCUUGGGCCUUUUCCUGAGUGACUAAAAAGAUCUCUUAAUUCAAGUGUGCAAUUUAAGUAAUAAAUUAUUUUGUAACUUCAACAAGCCAGCCUGCCUCAGGUCAAGAACUAGGUGGUCAGUGGCAAAUAUCUGAUGUUCUAGGUAUGUCUCAGGGGGAUAUUUUAUAGUUGCUGCCAUGGGCAUAUUUCUCAUGCUGCUGCAACUCCCUGUGGUUUAAACCACUGGAGCAAUCCACUCAUGGAUUAGGAAGGGGGGAAACAAGCUUGUAAAGACUAUGGGGUGGUGUUGUUGACACCUCUAACACAGCUGCUGCUGCUGCCACCCAAGAUAACCUCACACAAGUAUCCUUUCUGAUCUAUUACGGCCAAAACAUCAAGCAGCUAAAGCCCCUUUGGCCGAGGGGCACUGCAGGCAGCAGAGCCAUGGAUGGUGGACGUUUGUAUCCAUUGCCCACAAUGAGCAACAGUGGAGAUAAAUCCAGUUCUGACAAAACUUUUCUGUGAGCACUGAGAACAGUUUUUACUUUUCAAUAUGUCCAUACGAUCUAGUUCUGUUUGUCUCUCUCUAUGUAAAACGGUAUAUCACAAUGUUGCCUUUUUGUUGGAAAUAUCAAAAGUACAAAGAUUGUAAACCAAAUCGGUGUAAUAAAAGUUCCAGAUGAUUCACGAU